GUGCAGCCCACAGGCAGUCCACCGUGCAGUGUAGGAGGGUGAGAGUGUUUUUGCACCAUUGAACACUGAGAGGGGAGCUGCACACCUAAUCAAUAGCUGAAAGAGAUCUUUUCCAUAUCCAGUGAUGGUGGAUCAUUGAUUUGGGCACGAUCAGAUGGUCCAGAAGCUUCCUUGCACGAUCCAAUGAUCAAGACCUAUUGUCGGCU
rnacentral:lncRNA from 1 species